AUGAGAUCAAGGAGAUUUUAAGUAGCAUAUGAAAAUAUAGUUGAGAACUGACAAAAUACUUUCAUUGGUUUAUAGUGGUUAGACUGUCGUUUAAGUCCGUGUUUAAGUGUUAAGUUUUUAUCAGUGAUCUCUGUCUUCUUACCAUAUUGCUAUAGUUAUUUACCAUUUAAUUGAUAAGCAUAUCAUGAAUGCAAAGUGUGUUAUAGUUAGUGUAACUUUAAAAAUAUGUAUUUUUAUAAGUUAAUUACAUACUUUUUGAAGGUCAAUGAGAUUCCACAAUGUCUAACUUCUGUGCUGAAGUGUAUAAUCACAGUAAUUCUGGGGUAAAUAAUUCUUGCCCCUUUGAAAUUAUUUAAUUCAUAUCAGUCAUUAAAUUUCAAAAUUUAGGGCCUUUUAAAAGAGGUCCUGGUUCUUUAUCAGUCUCCAAGAAAACGAAUGAGUGCUGGUAAUAAAAGGUAUUAUUUUCUAGGUCAUCAGAAGAAAUCUUUAUAUAGAACUAAUCAUUCAACAAAAUAUAAUGUAUAAUAAAGUUUUUAUACCUUUAAAAAUUAAUUUGGAUUUCUCAAGGGGGUAUUUUGCUUUUGAAAUAUGAAUAUUGUUUACGACUAAUGAAACAUACCAUAACAAGUAUUUUCUUAUACACUCACUAAAGUUAAUGUAUCCUGUCUAUGUUCAGUAGAUCAUCACAAACAUUUAGAAAUACUCAAGCUAUGGGAGCAAAUCUGAAAAUAAAAAGGCCUGAUGCAAUCCAAAUAUUAAUGGUAAUAAUUUUUGCUUUUCAAAAUUUUAUUAGUUUAAUUUAUGUAUAUGAAUAUGUUAUCUCCAUGUGCGUUUAUGCACCACAUGUGUGCCUAGUGCCUGUGGGAAUCAGAAAAGGGUCCUCUGAAAUUGUAGUUACAGAUAGUUAUGAACCAUCAUCACAUUGAUACUGGGAACUGAACCCAGGUCCUCUGCAAGAGCAACAAGUGAUCUAAUGUACUGAGGUAUCUCUCCAGGUCUAAAGGAUAUUUGUUUUGUUUUUGUUUUUUCUUUUUGUUUUUUUUUUUUUUUGUUGUUGUUGUUGUUUUGUUUUUUCUUCUUAAAUCAGUGUCUCAAAACUCUGAAAGGCCUGGAACUCUUUAUGAAGACCAGUGUGGCCUUGAACUCACAGAAAUCCUCUUGCCUCUGUAUCCAGAGUCGUAGGAUUAAAGGUGUGCACCAUCAUGCCUGGCCUUCUAAUUCUUAUGAAGUUAAACCAUAAACCCAAGUACUUUGAUGCUUAAAAAGCACAGUUAAUUUUAAAAUAUGUCUCACUUGAUAAAGAAAACAUCUUUUCAUUUAUUUUUGUAUGAAAUUUGGAGCCUUUUAAUUCUUUAGGGGUCUCUAAUAAAACAGUGAGUGUUGAUAUAUUGCAUUAUUUUCUCAGUCAUAAGACUAAAUUUUAUGUAGAACUAAUCAUUUAACAAAUUAUGUAUAAAAAUUUACAUCUUGAAUAAUUAACUUUAGAUUUGCCAAGGUGAUAUUUUACUCUUGAAAAAUAAACAACUUAACAAAUCAAUAUCUGAUACUAUUUAAAAUAAAUUUAAGCUAGUAUAUAUAGAAUGGCAAGAAACAUUUUAAAGUCACCUAUAUUUGAGAACUUUGCACAUUUGAAACCCUUGAGUAAAACACUAAUGAAUUUACAUGAUUUUUUUCAGAAAAUCAGAAAUAUUUAAAUUAAUAGCUAUAUUGUAUAAAAUAUUAUAUUUUAUUGUUAUUGAAAUGAAAAAUGUUUUAUUGCUGUCAUAAAGACUAAGGUUUGAAUAAAAACACUGUCAUGAUAAUAGUUAAAUAUUCACUACAAGUCAUGGUAAUUUGUUUCCAAAUAAAAGACAAAAGAAAAACUAAGAAUGCAUUUCAUUAUUCUACAUAGGGAAGUAUGAGACACUUUAAUUGACAAUAAAUAAGGGGCAUAGUCAUGUGAAUGGUUUAAAUGUAAAUGGAUAUCACAAAUACAAUAAAAUUCUGCCUAUUUUGAUGUCUAAGGUCAAACAGCAAGAAGAGCUUUCAUUCAAUUUUUCUUGUUAUUCUUGAUGUGACUACUAACAGUGAUCUUAAACCUCAGGAGUACUCUUUUGUAAGUGAACUUUCCUUUAAGAAAAAAAAAAUGUAAAGAGACUGGUGCUAAUAUACUCCUAGCUACUUUCUUACCUCCAUUUACCUAACCUCAAUCCACCCUUACAAAUUCUUGAGAUUACACAGAAUUUUUCUGCUUUGUGUAUUUUAUGUAGUUUGUCUACACAUGAUUUCUUUUUUUACAAUUUGUAGCAUGUAUGUGAUACUGUGCAAUUUUUUUGAGAUGAUGUUUUAAAAUUUGCAUGUUAAGAAACAGUAGAAGUUGGGAAACGUGUCUACUGUUUAUAUGUGAAUGAAUGUAUUUAACUAAAGUUGUACUUUUAAAAGAAUGUACAUUUAAUAAUAAUGUAAAUUAAAGAAACAGCAAAAUCU
rnacentral:lncRNA from 1 species